rnacentral:rRNA from 1 species
AUGGCAACUGAAGCAGUUGUCAACUGUAGGAGGGAGAAUGGCCAGAGCCAAUGUCCACGACAAGCAAUAUAUGGACCAGCCUCCGGCGGCGGAGGUAGGGCUCAGAUCAGAUCCUCAUUGAUGGGCAGCCACCACAAAGGGAGAUCGACAAGAUCCCACACCAUUGCCACGCCUUUGACUGAGGCAGGCUCCAACAACUACGCAAAUCAAAAGCACCUUCAGGCAGAUCUUCCGGCCAUCAAGCUUGUAGACAGUGGAGAAGUCACAGAAGGGACUAUGUUAACAUGCUUGAGGCGAGCCCUUUCUCAACACUCCGCUCUGCAAGCACAUGAUGGGCAUUGGGCUUGCGAUUUCAGUGGAAUUAUGUUCAUUAUGCCUAUAUUGAAUGAAGAUGGUGGUUGGGGCACACAAGUUUCGACGCCGAGCACCAUGCUUGGAACAUGCUUAAACUAUGUUUACCUUGAGACUUCUCAAUGA